UGCAACUCGACUACAUGAAGCUGGAAUCGCUAGUAAUCGCGAAUCAGAAUGUCGCGGUGAAUACGUUCCCGGGUCUUGUACACACCGCCCGUCACACCAUGGGAGUUGGGAAUGCCCGAAGCCGGUGACCUAACCGAAAGGGAGGAGCCGUCGAAGGCAGGCUUGAUAACUGGGGUGAAGUCGUAACAAGGUAUC
rnacentral:rRNA from 1 species